AUUGAACGCUGGCGGCAGGCCUAACACAUGCAAGUCGAACGAGUGGCGGACGGGUGAGUAAUGUCUGGGAAACUGCCCGAUGGAGGGGGAUAACUACUGGAAACGGUAGCUAAUACCGCAUACCAUCGGAUGUGCCCAGAUGGGAUUAGCUAGUAGGUGGGGUAAAGGCUCACCUAGGCGACGAUCCCUAGCUGGUCUGAGAGGAUGACCAGUCACACUGUAACUUAGACAAUGUCCAGCCUCCGACGGGAGGCAGCAGUGGGGAAUAUUGCACAAUGGUCGCAAGCCUGAUGCAGCCAUGCCGCGUGUAUGAAGAAGGCCUUCGGGUUGUAAAGUACUUUCAGCGGGGAGGCGUUACCCGCAGAAGAAGCACCGGCUAACUCCGUGCCAGCAGCCGCGGUAAUUC
rnacentral:rRNA from 1 species